rnacentral:misc_RNA from 1 species
GAAAUGCGAUAAGUAAUGUGAAUUGCAGAAUUCCGUGAAUCAUCGAAUCUUUGAACGCACAUUGCGCCCUCUGGCAUUCCGGGGGGCAUGCCUGUCCGAGCGUCAUUACGCACCCUCAAGCCCGGCUUGUGUGAUGGGCCCCGGCGUCUCGUUCGCGAGACGGGCCCGAAAGGCAGCGGCGGCGUCGACCCGAUGAGCCCGAGCGUAUGGGGACUUCUGUCACACGUUCGCGGUGCGGACCGGCGCCUGCUUUGACUUUUCUGAUUAUCCAGGUUGACCUCGGAUCAGGUAGUGAUACCCGCUGAACUUAAGC